rfam:Ictidomys tridecemlineatus contig089528, whole genome shotgun sequence.
AUACAUGUGGCUCAGAGGAAGAGCAUGUGCUUAGCACGCUUGAGGCCCUGGGCUCAAUCCCCAGCAAUAUAUA